GGAGGGGUGGCCGAGUGGCUGAAGGCGCAGCAUUGGAAAUGCUGUAUACGGGAAACUGUAUCGAGGGUUCGAAUCCCUCCUCCUCCGCCAU
rnacentral:tRNA from 1 species